GGUAUACAUCGGUUACGGACAAUUAGCAAAAUCCUCAGUAACCGGUCGAUGUCACGAGCAUAACAACUUCUGUCUAAUUAUGCAUGUUAGAAGCCCAUAUAAUUAUAACAGGUUCACUGCUAUGCAGUGCACGCUUAAUGAUUACAUAUAAUUAUUUAGUUUGUUACAUAUUUACUUAAAGAAAAAGUAAGGUACGGAGAACUACAUCAGAGGUGACUCUCCUAAUAUCGUAAACCCAUAUGGCUAUGAUAACACUAACUACUCUUCCUCUCUAAGGUGAAUGCGACUUUACUCAUCGCACCACCAUAAGAAUACAAUACUGCAAAGUAUAGAAGACUUAGACUAAACAGUUUUGCGAUCAUAAAACGAGUAUAUUCAAUGUGUGCACCAACCGAGGAGCUGAGUGGUCCGCGUUGUUCCACGAAUUUCCCGAUUUAAACCGAUUAAAGCAGAGAUGCUGUUUGUUUACGUUUUAACUCAUUGGCGCGAAAUAACAAUAGGCGCUAAUAACUGCAACUAAUAAAUAUUAUUCAAAAUACGUGUUAUUAUU